ACCACCACCACCACCAGCAUGGCAGUAGUAGCAGGAGUAGUGAAUGGUCACACGUAUGUGGUGACUUCUUGGACUAUCAGGCUGCCCUUGUAGUGUGUUGGACUAUCGGUGAACAAGGAGACCUGAAAGUUACGUGGUACAACUAUUUCGGUGAUAGAAGUGGCUGAGUUGCCGAUCCAAAGGCCUGGCUUAAGAGUGAUCCCGAGCUACCUGUACCAUCAAGAUCAAGAUCGAGCGUCCAUAUCAGAUGGUGAGUCUGCGUACAAAAUUGCAUCGGAGGGAUUGAUAGAGGCAGCCACAAUUAUCCAUCAUCAUCGGCGACACCAUGGCUCUUGAGAAGACCUCCUCUUCUCUCUUCCCAUCUCUUCCUCCUCCUAGCCCAACCAAGCCUAACUCUCUCUCUCUCUCUCUCUCUCUCUCUCUCUCUCUCUCUCUCUCUCUCUCUCUCUCUCUCUCUCUCUCUCUCUCUCUCUCUCUCUCUCUCUCUCUCUCUCUCUCUCUCUCUCUCUCUCUCUCUCUCUCUCUCUCUCUCUCUCUCUCUCUCUCUCAGACAGACAGACCUCGAUGACAGCGUGGUGAGCGAGGAGGGGGAGUCAACCAGCAGAGUAGGGGAGCAUGACCCCUACUUUGAACCAGUGGUGACCUUGCUGGAGGUCUUCGUGGUUAGUGAUGAUGACCAGGAGAAGGAAAUGAUAAGACUGAGUUUCGAGGUCAGGUCAGGCAGUACAAGCUGUUUCUUUAUCACACUUCUGAGUCGCCCCCACAGUGGAAGGAACGGGGCAUGGAGGCCAUUAAGAUUCUGAGGAACAAGCAGAAGAAGGCUGUGGAGUUUGUUCAGCGGCAGAAUUAAUGCCAGUGGGUGAGUUCAGAUCCUCCAAGACACACAGACACACACACAGCAGCCCCUCCACCUCCCCACAGCCCUCCACAGCCCCUGACACAGUAUCUGACACAGGCCCUUCACAGACCACCACAUACCUCACACAUACAUAAGAACAUAAGAACAUAAGAAAUAAGGGAAGCUGCAAGAAGCGACCAGGCUUACACAUGGCAGUCCCUGUAUGAAAUAUACCUACCUAUUUCCAUCUGUUAUCCCCAUCCAUAAACUUGUCUAAUCUUCUCUUAAAGCUCUCUAGUGUCCUAACACUAACAACAUGAUUACUGAGUCCGUUCCACUCAUCUACCACUUUUUUUGAGAACAAAUUUUUUCCUAUCUCCAUCCUAAACCCAAAUUUUUCAAGCUUGUACCCAUUAUUUCUUGUUCUACCCUGGUUGCUGAUCCUAAGAAUUUUGCCUAGAUCCCCCUUGUUAUAACCCUUAUACCACUCAAAGACUUCUAUCAGGUCCCCUCUUAACCUACGUAUCUCUAAAGAAUGUAAAUUUAACAGCUUCAACCUCGCCUCGUAAGGAAUACUCCUCAUCCCCUGUAUCCUUUUAGUCAUUCUCCUCUGUACUGAUUCUAAUAGACCUAUAUCUUUCCUGUAAUGUGGGGACCAGAACUGCACAGCGUAGUCUAGAUGAGGUCUGACCAGCGCCAAGUAUAACUUUAAUACUACUUCCGGCCUUCUACUUUUAACACUCCUAAAAAUCCCACACACCACAGGAGCCUCACAAACAGUCUCACAGCCUUCACAAGCAGCCCCACACUCCACCACAGACACACCAGACCCACAGCCCUUCACCUCACCCACUUCCCAGUCCCCCACAGCCCCCCAGCCACCACAAAUGAAGUGAAAGGAAGGGAUUGUGGCUUCACCCAGCCAGCCAGGACAGCCUACAGAGAGGGGGUAGUCCCAGUCAAGUCACAAAAUAUAGGCUUGGUUCUUCCUACAGUUUGAAGUCAAUGAUUGGACAGGUGGUAACACGGAGAGGAAGUGGAAGAAACCUUGGGACGCUCCCAUAACUCAGGAGCAAGAAAUACACCUUACUGGAAACCUUGUGACUGACAGGUGGUGGUGACUGCAGGAACCAAUUCAGAUGUCUGUCUUGUGUUGGCGAACGUCCUGUCUGCAGUCAGGCCAGUAGUGCCAUGUCGCAGGGUGUGACAUCAGGUGAAGAGCCAAAUGGAGAGUGUCUGCAGCCAGUACUGGGUGUGCUGAUGCUGUACACAAGUGUCGAGCCAGGUGCCACAGCACGUGUCAGCUGACUCCACCAGUGUAGUGUCUCUAGUCCAGGAUGCACUGCUGUGUACGACUUGUAUGUCUUUAUAAAUUUGUGACUAUUCUUAUUAUAUUUGUGAAAUAAGACUUGUAUGUCUUUGCUAAUAAAUAAAUAUUUGUGACUAUUCUUAUUAUAUAUGUGAAAUAAAUAUAUAGUUAGCUAACAGUGUGGUAUAAUAGUGUAAAAAUAAAUAUUUGAUAAUUCAUGCAUGCCCCAAAGGUAAAAAAAAAAAAAAACAGGAUUGUGCCCUCUAAACUUUUAAGAUACCACUUGCACAUAGAAGCCCCAUCCCAGCGACUCCAGUGUCGGCUGGGAUGGGGCUUCUAUGUGCAAAUGGUAUCUUAAACUUAGUUUAGUAGCCGAUCCUGGCUGUUUUUUUUUUUUUUUUUUUUUUUUGCCUUGAGGGCAUGACUUGUACUCCCAGAAAGACUAUUUGCCAAAGAUAUUAUUGACAUGGCAUAAAUAACUAUCAUUAUGUUCAAGAUGGCAUACUGAAUGUUUAUUGUUUUAAUGUGAAUGUUAAGUGAAUAAAUACACAACAAUAAUAUAAA